GACGUCUUGGACUGUUCCUCACCAAUCUGUAUUUGACCUGUGUUUUAGUGCGUUCAUCUAAGUUCGAUAGGACAACAUGGCUGCUCAUUAUGGGAUUGCAAUGGUAGAGAGUCUCUGGCAGCAUGGACACAUGGAACACCAGCCAGCUUCACAGAUACAGCAGGUGACUCAAUCUAUCCAAGCACCACCCUGCUCUGACAGCAAUACCCUGGAUAGACACAGAACAUAUUACAUCUCUCCCGGGCCAGAACAAGAGCUUCCCACCAACCAAGAGAGACAUCAAUCAUCUGGAGGCUGGGACUGGAGCCACCGGGCCAAAUCCAACUGAGAGACUCCACAGCAACUCCAUUACAGGAAUAUGGAGCAGUCAUACUGUACCUUGCUAAACAAUGCAAACCAGCACAGGGAUGACCUCAGCAGAGUAUAAGUACCAGUUCUGCUCCAUAGUCCUGGUGGACACAUCAGGUGGAGGGUUAUCUGGAUUUGGCCAAAUCUCUACCCUGGACCUGUAUUUAUGGACCAGAGCUAAUCAUACCUGUCACAUCAAAGAGCUAGCAUUUCUACUGUUUCCCUGUUCAGUGCUGACACCUGGAUAGGAAUGUUUAUUUGUAGGAUUGAGCCUGGCACACCUCCACAAGGAGCACACAGAACCACUCACAGUCAUUACAGGAGUAGAGUGCAGGAAGCGUGUACUGUGUUUCAAUGGGGAAAACAAACUGUAGUAGAAUCCAAGUUCAGUAGGCUACGGCAGGUCAAGGUGAGUCAAGUUCGAAAGACGUGCCAUUCAAAUCAAAAAGUGAGCUGAAUACAUAUGAGCAGCCUUUCUAGGGGUGGUGCCCAGUAGGAACCUGGGAGUAAACAGUGUUCUUGUAAUGCACAAAGAGUGUGUUUGCAGUGACAACACAUCAUCUCCAUUGAAGAUACUCAUUGUAGUCAAAAGCAUGUGGCCUAAAACAGAUUGUUCUCUGUCUGAUCUCAGUCAGCACUACUGCUCUUCAGAAGCCAGGCUCUUGGACAGCCUCUUGGUUCUGAGAGGGACUUGACUGUCAGUCUCAGCCCACCAGAGGAAUAGUGACAAAGCUGAUGAAGGCUGCUGAGAGCUGAGCUGCUGAUGAGACAGAUGCUGAGGGCGUCAAGAGACACAAACUAUUAAACACAGCUUAGAGAUGCUCACAUGGCUGCUGUGGAAGACAUUGAGAGUGGCACGAAGGCUCUUUCUAAAAGGAAAGUUAAAUAUAUGUAAUAAGACAAUUUAGUAUAUUUAUUCAAGGGGAUUUUACAAUGAAUGACUGACCCAUUUGUGUUACGUCCAUAAUGAUUACAUAUGAUCAUUGAACUAGAGCACAUUCAAAACACAUUUGACAUCAACCCUGCGCAGGUCCUAAAACCUGGCACAGUGAUAUUGAAUAAUCCCUGGCAUGACACAG
ensembl:lncRNA